GACGAACGCUGGCGGCGUGCUUAAUACAUGCAAGUCGAACGGAAAGGCUCCAGCUUGCUGGAGCACUCGAGUGGCGAACGGGUGAGUAACACGCGGGUAAUCUGCCCCGCACUCUGGGAUAUGCCUGGGAAACUGGGUCUAAUACUGGAUAUGAUCUAUCUCCCCAUGUGGUUUGGUGGAAAGAUGUUCGUUGUAGGAUGAGCCUGCGGCCUAGCAGCUCGCUGGUGGGGUGAUGGCCUAGCAAGGCGACGACGGGUAGCCGGCCUGAGAGGGUGAUCGGCCCCAUAGGGACUGGGGUACGGCCCGGAGUGCAACGGGAGGCAGGGGUGGGGAAUAUUGGGCGAUGGGCGGAGGCAUGAUGCAGGGUCGCCGCAUGGGAAAUGACGGCCUUCAGGUUAUAAAACUCUUUCAGCAGAGACGGAGCGUAAGUAACGGUACCAGCAAGAGAAGCACCGGCUAACUAUGU
rnacentral:rRNA from 1 species